UAAAGAUUUUAAGGGCGUACGGUGGAUGCCUUGGCUAUACUGGCCGAUGAAGGACGCGGUAAGCUGCGAUAAGCUACGGAGAGGUGCAAGCAACCUUUGACCCGUAGAUUUCCGAAUGGGGGAACCCGGCGGAAGUUAUGUUCCGUCACCCAUACCUUAGAGUAUGAGGAGGGCACCUGGGGAACUGAAACAUCUAAGUACCCAGAGGAAGAGUAAUCAAACGAGAUUCUCCUAGUAGCGGCGAGCGAACGGGGAAGAGCCCAAACCGGAUCGGGAAACCGAACCGGGGUUGAGGACUGUCAUCAAGUGUAAAUGAGAUAGAAGAAUUGUGCUGGAACGCACAGCCGUAGAAGGUGAAAGCCCUGUACUCGAAAUCUUGCAUGCAUGGGACAGUAUCCAGAGUACCACGAGACACGUGAAACCUUGUGGGAAGCAGGGGGGACCACCCUCCAAGGCAAAAUACCAGUAUGGACCGAUAGCGCAUAGUACCGUGAGGGAAAGGUGAAAAGCACCCCGGGAGGGGAGUGAAAGAGAACCUGAAACCGUAUGUCUACAAACAGUCGAAGCGCGUAUAAUUGCAGCGCGACGGCGUGCCUAUUGAAGAAUGAACCGGCGAGUUACUGUUACUAGCGAGGUUAAGUGGAAAACAUGGAGCCGAAGCGAAAGCGAGUCUGAAUAGGGCAAUUAGUUAGUGAUAGUAGACCCGAAACCGUAGUGAUCUAUCCAUGGCCAGGUUGAAGCACAGGUAAAAUUGUGUGGAGGACCGAACUCGUGAGCGUUGAAAAGCUUUGGGAUGAGCUGUGGAUAGGGGUGAAAUGCCAAUCGAACACGGAGAUAGCUGGUUCUCCCCGAAAUAGCUUUAGGGCUAGCCUCAUGGAGAGAGUAUAGGCGGUAGAGCACUGAUCGGGCUAGGGCCCAUACCGGGUACCGAACCUAGUCAAACUACGAAUGGCUAUACUUAUACAUGGGAGUCAGACUAUGAGUGAUAAGGCCCAUAGUCAAGAGGGAAACAGCCCAGACCACCAACUAAGGUCCCUAAUGCUGUACUAAGUGGCGAAGGAUGUGGAAUUUCUAAAACAACCAGGAUGUUGGCUUAGAAGCAGCCACCAUUUAAAGAGUGCGUAAUAGCUCACUGGUCGAGAGACUCUGCGCCGAAAAUGUCCGGGGCUAAAGUACAGAACCGAAGUUGUGGCAAAUGCAGUAAUGCAUUUGGGUAGGGGAGCGUUCUUAUUGGAUUGAAGCAGUACCGGAAGGAGCUGUGGACUGGUAAGAAGUGAGAAUGCCGGUAUGAGUAGCGAAAAGAAAGGUGAGAAUCCUUUCCACCGAAAGCCUAAGGGUUCCUGAGCAACGAUCGUCGACUCAGGGUAAGUCGGGACCUAAGCCGAGGCGGAAAAGCGUAGGCGAUGGACAACAGGUUGAAAUUCCUGUACUAGUAUGAAUUGUUUGAUCGAUGGAGUGACGCAGUAAGAUAGGUCAGCACGAGGAUGGAAAUUCGUGUUUAAGCGUGUAGGUGAAGUGGCAGGCAAAUCCACCAUUUCAAAAGCUGAGGCGUGAUGAGGAGUUACUAGAAAUAGUGACGAACUGAUUGAUUCUACACUGCCGAGAAAAGCUUCUAGGUAGAGACAUACUACCCGUACCGAAACCGACACAGGUGGGCGGGGAGAGAAUCCUAAGGUGCGCGGGAAAACCCUCGUUAAGGAACUCGGCAAAAUGCCUCCGUAACUUCGGGAAAAGGAGGACUCAUGUAGUGUGAAGAGCAGUAACGCUUGGAGCAUGAAUGAGUGGCACAAGAGAGGCGCAAGCGACUGUUUACCACAAACACAGGUGCCUGCUAAAGCGAAAGCUGAUGUAUAGGUGCUGACACCUGCCCGGUGCUGGAAGGUUAAGAGGAGGGGUUAGGAGUAAUCCGAAGCUCUGAAUUGAAGCCCCAGUAAACGGCGGCCGUAACUAUAACGGUCCUAAGGUAGCGAAAUUCCUUGUCGGGU
rnacentral:rRNA from 1 species